rnacentral:rRNA from 1 species
AGCGAACGCUGGCGGCAGGCUUAACACAUGCAAGUCGAGCGGGCCCUUCGGGGUCAGCGGCAGACGGGUGAGUAACGCGUGGGAACGUGCCCUUCGGUUCGGAAUAACUCAGGGAAACUUGAGCUAAUACCGGAUACGCCCUUAUGGGGCAUGGUUUACUGCCGAAGGAUCGGCCCGCGUCUGAUUAGCUAGUUGGUGAGGUUAUGGCCCACCAAGGCGACGAUCAGUAGCUGGUCUGAGAGGAUGAUCAGCCACACUGGGACUGAGACACGGCCCAGACUCCUACGGGAGGCAGCAGUGGGUAAUAUUGGACAAUGGGGGCAACCCUGGUCCAGCCAUGCCGCGUGAGUGAUGACGGCCUUAGGGUUGUAAAGCUCUUUUCUCCGGGACGAUAAUGACGGUACCGGGGGAAUAAGCCCCGGCUAACUUCGUG